rnacentral:lncRNA from 1 species
AAAUAUUACAAUGCGUUAGACUCUAUUAGGCGCGACUUUAAUAAAAUUACAUUCUUAAAUAUGGGUGGACAUUUUAUGCGGCCCAAAUCGAAUCCUAAAACGUUGAAUAGAGUGUGCCUAGGAUUGCGGUCAUUUCAUGCGGCGCAAUCCGAAAACACGCUUGAAACGACGUUCACUUUCUCUUAAAUAAAUACAUAUUGAAUAAAAGCGGUUUAAACGUAAAAUUGGCACAUAUGCUCUUCAUGUAUUAAAAUCAUAUUUUGGCCAUUCAUAACGAUUUAAGCGACCGUGCUAGAACCACAUGAUCCGAGGGUGCCUAAUCCUUCCCUCGGGUCAACAGAAUUCCUUAUUCAGAAUUUCUGCUUUGCGGACUCCAUUCGGAAGUCGAAGUUUUCCUCAGUUCGGGAUUCAAGAUAAACUGGCGACUUGGGACACCAAAAUCCAACCAUAUCCCAAGUGGCGACUCUAAAUAAAUAAUCCUGACCUGAAUCAUGACGCUUUAAAUGGAAAAACUCCCUUAUAGUUUAUCCUUCGGGAUAAUAUGUACAAAGGAGGUGUGACAACAAGUUAUUAUCAUAGUAACAAAAAUAGAAAAUAUCGAAGAAAUUUUUUACGUUGCAUGAUAUGCAUUGGUUCAUAUAAGUUUUCAGGCAGAAGGAAAUGCCAAAGGAAAAAUAAAGCAUUAGAAAGGGUGGACAUUAAGGAUCACAUCACACAUUUGUAUUCACCUCCUACGAAAUGGCAUUUCCCCCAUUUUACCCUACUCACCACCACCACCGUAAUCUUUUUUUCCAUUUUUGCUUUUCUUCCUCAAUGAUUUAGUGCACAUAGUAAGCAAAGAUGGACAAGAGUUCCAAUCAAAGUUCCCACAGCGGGCAAAGCGACAGCAGCAUCGCUUGUUGGCGACGGAGCCGGGGCGUUACUUGGGCUCAUUUGAGCCAUGGCAGCGCUCAUGGAGGCUACGGCAACUAGGGCGGCACAAGUGAUCUUCUUCAUCUCCAUAUAGAAAGUUGAUCAGACGAGCUGAAAUAGAGAUAAGGCGAAAAUUAACGUCUCAAAGGAAAAGUUGAGAUGUAAUCGCCGAAUUUUCCUUGCCUGCCUU